rnacentral:rRNA from 1 species
AUUGACCGCUAGCGGGAUGCUUUACACAUGCAAGUCGAACGAGUGGCGGACGGGUGAGUAAUAUAUCGGAACGUGCCCAGUAGCGGGGGAUAACUACUGGAAACGGAGAUAAUACCGCAUACUAUCGGAUGAACCCAUCUGGGAUUAGCUAGUAGGUGAGGUAAUGGCUAACCUAGGAAACGAUCCGUAGCUGGUUUGAGAGGACGCCCAGCCACACUGGAACUGAGACACGGCCCAGACUCCUACGGGGGGCAGCAGUGGGGAAUUUUGGACAAUGGGGGAAACCCUGAUCAAGCCAUCCCGCGUGUAUGAUGAAGGCCUUCGGGUUGUAAAGUACUUUUGGCAGAGAAGCGGUAUCUGCAGAAUAAGCACCGGCUAACUACGUGCCAGCAGCCGCGGUAAUUC